GUAAGAGGGUGUGCUGCUGGAGGACUAAGGAGUACAAGUGUUAUCAGACACCAGGAGGAAGUUAUGUGCAAAUGGAGGUAGCUGCUUCCUUGAUGAAGACAACAAGAGUUCUCAAUGUGUCUGUGCUCCUGGAUGGACUGGGCGAACGUGCCUGGUGAACAUUAAUGACUGUGAAGAGAACUGGUGCCAGCAUGGAGCCACUUGUGAAGAUGGAAUCAAUGAAUACAGGUGCAUGUGUCCUCUGGGAUACACUGGCUCCUUCUGUGAGCUUGACAUAGAUUACUGCAUUGGAAACCAGUGCUCAAAUCAUGGCUUCUGCCAGGACAACUUGAAUAAUUACAGCUGUCGCUGCAUGGUUGGAUAUGAAGGACCCUUCUGUGAAGUGGAGAUUAAUGAAUGUUUAAGUUCACCCUGCAAAAAUGGGGCAACCUGUAUGGAUUUAAUUGGCUACUUCUCAUGUCAAUGUGUCGCAGGCUU